rnacentral:rRNA from 1 species
GAUGAACGCUGGCGGCGUGCCUAACACAUGCAAGUCGAACGGAAGGACGAUAAGCUUGUGUCGUUGAUGUUUGCGGCGGGCGGGUGUGUCACGCGUGGAUCCCCUACUUAUAUUUCUGGGAUAACUUCGAGACAGCGGCUCUUAUACCAGAUAAUAUUUUGCACCGCGGGGGGCAAAGGAGAAUGACGGUCUUUGUGUCUGUUAUCGCUGGUUCCGAGCUGCAUUAGCUAGUUGGUAAGGUCACAGCGUACCAAGGCUACGAUGCGUGGCCGACCUGAGAGGCGGAUCGGCCACACUGGAAGGUAGACACGGUCCAGACUCCUACGGGAGGGAGCAGUAGGGAAUCUGAGGCAAUGGGCGAAAGCAUGACGCAGUAAGGGCGAGUGUGUGAUGAAGGCCUUCGGAUCGUAAAGAUCUGUUAUGGGGGAAGAACAGAUGUGGAAGGAAACGAGGACAUCGUGACGGUACUUAAUCAAAAAGCAACGGCUAACUACGUG